CCUGAAUUCAUUCUUGUGUGAGAUCCAAGAACUCACUCUUGGGGUCUGGAUCCAGACCCUUUUCCGGUAAUAUCUUCCUGGAGACCACAGAAGGGCCAAUACUAAGGAAACCUUCCAACCAAAGGCUAACUUUGGAGCACUGAGUGUGACAGUCAAGCCCUUGAUGGCUUCAGCAAGUAGAAACCUGACUGUUGCCUGCAGAGGAUGACUGUGUGUCCCUGGGCCAUUUGUCAGUCCCUCCCAGGGUGCUCGUAGCUGAUCUUCGCCGACCUGACCGUCUUGUUACACCUUGUUCUCCUUCUAGGCAGCUAAGCACCCCAAUCUCUAUCAACCCUCCACUCCAGCCUUUAAGGACAUCUUGCCAAAUAGUCCCUUGAUCUCCUACAAGUUCAGCCAUCAGCCAACCCCAGAAUAAAGUUUCCAAUUACAUUGAAUCCUAUGAAAGUGACUUUGUCCCUUGAUUUGCAGAUCAAAGCAGUAUUAAAGUUUUCCUCCCACAC